rnacentral:rRNA from 1 species
UACGGAGGGGGCUAGCGUUAUUCGGAAUUACUGGGCGUAAAGCGCACGUAGGCGGACCAGAAAGUUAGGGGUGAAAUCCCGGGGCUCAACCUCGGAACUGCCAUUGAUACUAUUAGCCUUGAAUUAUGUUGAGGUUGGCGGAAUAUAACAUGUAGCGGUGAAAUGCUUAGAUAUGUUAUGGAACACCGAUUGCGAAGGCAGCUGGCUAAACAUAUAUUGACGCUGAUGCACGAAAGUGUGGGUAGCGAACAGG